GACGAACGCUGGCGGCGUGCUUAACACAUGCAAGUCGAGCGGAAAGGCCCUUCGGGGUACUCGAGCGGCGAACGGGUGGGUAACACGUGGGUAACCUGCCCUUCACUCUGGGAUAACUCCGGGAAACCGGGGCUAAUACCGGAUACGACCACUUUAGGCAUCUUCGGUGGUGGAAAGUUUUUCGGUGGAGGAUGGACCCGCCGGCCUAUCAGCUUGUUGGUGGGGUAAGUGGCCUACCAAGGCAGUGACGGGUAGCCGGCCUGAGAGGGCGACCGGCCAC
rnacentral:rRNA from 1 species